UUUUUAUUUUUUUUAAAACCAUGAGUUAAGUGCUUGUGAGAGGUAAGGUUAAGCAACACAAUAUGAAGGCUUCCUGUCCUGUUGAGUUACUGGUGAGUGAUCCCGCUGUGCGAUGGGUUACUGGUUUCAAAGUCCUACUGGAAAUUGACUUUUUUAUUACUUUUGUUUCCUUUCGUUACAGCUGGAAUUGGAAUUUAGGAUGGAAAAAACCCCCAAACACAACAUGAUAACGCAACGUUAUUAAGAUUUUCAAACUAUACAAUACACUCUUCCCUGGAUGGGGUUUAAGACACACUUUCGGUCUCCACUCGCUGCAUCGGACUGGGCGAGCGGCAGGCAGCGCUGGAGCGAUUUGGGGAAGGCACGCGGUUACGUGGCCCUGGGUAUUCGGCUUUAACAAGCCUGGAUCUAACGGCUUCGUUCUCUCAUGAAUCUACUGGGGUCGUGCACCCGGAACAGAUUAUUAGAAAGCGCGUUGGCGGCUUCCACACACUGGCCAUUGCUCCCAGCCUCGGGGACAGACGGCUGUGGAACAGCUGUAGGUGCUGUUGAUUUUGGAUGGUUCAUUAUUCGUGUGUUUUUGAAGACUGGGGGGGGGGCGAGUGCUCGGUUUCUGUUGGGAGUGGCCAACGUGACGGAGCAAGCUGACCCUAAUCUAAUUCUUGUUAGAAGGAGAUCCGUGAAGCGCCACAGUUUAUACCUAAUGAUGCUUCAAAAAGCACAGGCCAGCUUAGUUACAGUUCAGUACAUGAGACGCUGUGCGUGUGUGUCUCGGAUCCCAAUGGAAUGUCAUUGCAAAGUCUUUGGUCUUCAACGUGGCCUAAAUCUGGCAAAACUCAAUUGUCUUUUGAUAGGAAAGGAUAAAAUGUCCAUGUUUUAAAAACAAAAGAAAUAAAUAAAGAGAAAAAAAAAAACUUAAAACAAAUGAUCAAAGUCAAAUUUAAGAAUUCUGUUCCAAGGGUUGCGUCGUUCACAUUUCUGAAUGCAUAGUGCAAUUUUAACAGACCACAGAUUGAUACCUUCUGGGGUAGUUUUAUUUUCUUCUUGUGUUCGUUUUUGUUUUUAGUGGUUUUAAUAAUAAAACAAAAAUCCACAGUAAAAAAAAAAAAAAAAAGUGAUCAAAAAGGUUGGUCAAAAACUAAACCAAUUUUCUACCCACCUAUAUCGUAGCAAACUUCACUAAAAGUGUUAGAUCCAUUUAUGACCGCUAUGUGGCGCUAUACAAGGCAAAACGAAUGCCGUCCAGUCCGUGGCCGGGGGGGUGAUCAAUAACAAGGCAGGAGGGGAUCGAGGUUCAUUGAAGACUGGCUGGAAUCUGGAGGAUUGUCCGCACAGACGUCCGCUUCGCUAAGACGAUAAAAGGAAUGUUUUCUUUGGUCCUGGAAAGGCGAGGCAGGUUCCCGGAGGGGCGAGGUCAUCACUCCGGUGGAAGGAAGGG